rnacentral:rRNA from 1 species
AUGGAAGAGAAAAUGAAGCAGGCUCUGGCAAAAAAGGACCUCGAUCUUGCUGCUGCACAAAAGGAGGCUCAGGAGAAGAUUGUACUUGCUGACAAGAAACUGGCCUCAGUGGGUGCGCCGGAGGAAGAAAACACCAAGUUGAAGACAUCCCUUAACGAGUCCAACCGAGAAGUGACUCUUCUGAAGAAAGACAAAGUGGCUUUGAACGAGAAGAUUGAAGGCAUUUCUCGUACGAGAAAUGAUCUCGAAGCUUAUCUGGGGGCACUCGCCAAGAAGCUAUUCCUUGUGCUCGAAGAAUUCUGCCAAAACUUUGAAGAAGAAACCGGACGAAUCGAUACAGGCCUGGACCCCGUCCUUUCCCCUGUUGGUGAUGAAGCUACCAUGAACGUGCUCCGACUGGAAUCCCGUGUUUCCAGUGUUACGGCUUACCUUGCUCACCUGAAGGUUGCGGUGUCGCAGAUUGACUCAACGCUUUGGCCACGGGAGACGCCCCAGAAUGACCUCGAGUCUUUGAUGACUCGACUCAACGAGAUCCCUGGCUGA